UUAAGUUCAGCGGGUGAGUCCUACUCGAUUUGAGGUCAAGUUGUCAGUCGUUGUCUGAAAGACGGUUGGGAGCACAGAGCUCCUGAUCAGCCACCCUCUUGCGAGGUGCCGGCGAAGACACUUAUCACGCCGUACUAUGUCCAACCAAGAGUUGUACUAACUCAUUUGAGGUGAGCCACAACUAAAGCAGCAACACCCAA
rnacentral:misc_RNA from 1 species